AUUGAACGCCGGCGGCAGGCCUAACACAUGCAAGUCGAGCGGAUGAAGGGAGCUUGCUCCUGGAUUCAGCGGCGGACGGGUGAGUAAUGCCUAGGAAUCUGCCUGGUAGUGGGGGAUAACGUCCGGAAACGGGCGCUAAUACCGCAUACGUCCUGAGGGAGAAAGUGGGGGAUCUUCGGACCUCACGCUAUCAGAUGAGCCUAGGUCGGAUUAGCUAGUUGGUGGGGUAAGGGCCUACCAAGGCGACGAUCCGUAACUGGUCUGAGAGGAUGAUCAGUCACACUGGAACUGAGACACGGUCCAGACUCCUACGGGAGGCAGCAGUGGGGAAUAUUGGACAAUGGGCGAAAGCCUGAUCCAGCCAUGCCGCGUGUGUGAAGAAGGUCUUCGGAUUGUAAAGCACUUUAAGUUGGGGGGAAGGGCAGUAAGUUAAUACCUUGCUGUUUUGACGUUACCAACAGAAUAAGCACCGGCUAACUUCGUG
rnacentral:rRNA from 1 species